GUGAGUGCUGGUGCCUCAGUCGCUCACUCCACUGCAGCUGCAGGACCCAGCCCUUCCAUUCACAGUGCUGGCCUGGGGAAGUGGAGAUGCCACUGUGUGGUGGCAGAAUGGUGUGUGAGUUGUCCUGCACAUGUUAAGGCUCCUCACCUUGUGCUCCCCCAGCCAGAGCUGUUUGCUGGUCAGCCCCAACAACCACCCGGGCCUGUCAAGUUUGUUUCUUCUUUCUGCAGGUGCCAGGUCAUUGAGCUUUGACCAUUUGGGACACUCCUGAACCCAAGGAACUAUGACCUCAGAGCAGCACACACACUUGCCCCAUGCACGCAAAAUUUGCCAUGCUUCCCCAGCUGCAGAACACGAUUCAUCAGGUGGCACCGCCACUGCAUGACUGAGAGUCAGUCUAUUGCUCCACGCGGCCCAGUACAGGACUGGGGUCAGGCCCCAGAGAGCUGGCCAGCAGGGAUGGCUGAGAAGUCUCUCAGGAGCACAGAUUGCUUUUUACUCCUGGAUGAAGUGUUUUGAAGGCAGGAAAGUCAGCCCCUGCAUUUCUUCUUUCAAUGAGAGACGGACGCAGCUCCUGGGGGUCGCCAGGAACCCGGGCACCUUCGCGUCCCUGAUCUGAUGUGACCGAGCCCUGGUCGCGCCUUCGGAACUUCGACUGUUGGUGACCCGCGGGUCACGGGCCGAGGCUCGGGGCGGGAGGUGGCGCACAGCGGGCCCGGUGUCCAUGCCCAGAAAGGCUCGGGCCGAAGCGCCGCAUGUGGCCCUGGACCCCUGGGCCCGCCAGGCCGGGCCGCUGCUGCCGAGUCCUGCAGACCCCGCAGGACGCGCCUCUCUGCGCUCACCAGGUACCGCCAGGAGACACCGCCGAGUCUCCUGAGCACCACCCGACUCCCCCUGGGCUCCUGGGAAAGCCCCAGACCCGAGACGGCUCAGCGGAGCAGUCCCCGGCGACCCUGCGGAGAGAGCUCAGGCCCGCAGCAGCCCCCCGCGGCCAGGACCCCUGGGAAGGCGCCUCCUUCUCCCGCACGGCUUCUCCACUGCCCUCUAGUGACCACCGCUGGCAUUACGCCAACAGGCCGGGAGAAGCGUUUCAAGAACCCAGGUGCAUUUGGACCUAGCAGGCCAGGAAGAGGGUAUGGGGAGGGGCUGGAGCAGCAGCACAGCAGGUGGGCCAGCUGCCUUGCAAGCCCCGCCUCAGUUCCCGCCACCACCGUGGGUCUCCCAAGGUGUGGCCCAAAAGAAUGUCUUGGGGGGAGGGGGGUGGCUGGAGCAAUAGUACAGCAGGUAGGGCGUUUGCCUUUCACGCGGCUGACCCGGGUUCGAUUCCCAGCAUCCCAUAUGGUUCCCUGAGCAAUGCCAGAAGUGAUUUCUGAGUGGAGAGCCAGGGGUCAGCCCUAGGAGUCAGCAUCAUUGGGUGUGACCGAAAAAUAAUAAAAAAAAAAGAAAAGGAAAAAUAAACCAAGAAUGUCUUGGGAAUUGUGUGUGUGACUGUGCGAGUACACAUACCUGGCGAGUCUGUGUGUUUGGCGGUUGAGAUGAGCACACAGCUGGUCUGUGUUUGUGUGUGUGGCUGUGAGGUCUGCACAUAUCUGUGCACCAGGUUGAGAGGGGUAGAGACAGUCUUUGUGAGGAAGUGAGUCUGCAGGCUAUGGGGGUUCAUUGCAGGGCCCCAGAGAGGGGACUGUUCAGGACAGUUCAGGAGCUGGCCUGGUGGAACUAAGCCCAGGUCUGAGCUUCCCCUCAUGCACAGUAACCCCUGUGCAUCGCCAGGUGUGACCCAAAAAGAAGAAAAAAAAAAGGCCCAGGCGCGGGCUCCAAAGGGGGACAGCAGGACUCACGGGGGAGCGCCCACUGCCCAGUCCAAAGGGGCGAGAGGACAAGUGGCGGGAAGGAGCUGCUGUGAGCCAGCCAGGUGGGAUAUGCCUGCGGGGACUGCUAUUAGGGGAGUCUCUACUUGGGAGUCCUGGACCCCACCUGGGGCAGGCACAGGUCCGGGGCUGGGUCGGCUCCCUGGGGAGGCGGGGACCAUGCACUGCUGUCCCUUUGCAGGCUGUGUGAGGGUGAGAGGUUAUACUGUGCGGUGUGCGGUUUGGGCCAAAGUGCCUGGCGACUGUGCAGACACUUUCUGCCCCGCUGCCUUGCGCUGGUGGCAUCCCUGAGUCAUCUUGUCUGUGCUGUGGAUGCGGGGCUGCCCCACAGAGAGGCCCUGCUCCUGAUGGCACACACCGAGCCUAUGGCUAUUCGGUGCCCUGUGCUCAGGGACCAUUCAUGGCAGGACAUAAGGGAUCCUAGGUGGAGCCAGGGUUCAAUCGCGUGCAAGGCAAGCAUCUGACUUGCUGUCCUAUCUCUCCAGCCCUCACAUUAGGUUUUUACCAUACUGGUAUAAUGACGAAUGUAGGCCAAUCUGAUUUAUGAUUCAAUAAUAGUUACCAUCCUUUUUGCCUUCUGAUCUCAGUCAUUCUA